GUGGAAUAUGAGCCUAGGAUAGUUCCUCCCACCGUGUUUUACAGUUGAAGUGGAGAUCUGGAGUGGAGAGGCAGCUGCCAAAUUACUAAUUAGCACUCUGAUAAAUACAUCUGCAUUUUUAAGAUUUCAUUUUUAUCAGUGUGAAAAAUAAAAUGGAUAUACAGAAAGCCUGCAAGGAAACCUGAUAUAUCAUCAGGGAAAAACUUGACAGCCUGGUUUCCUAGGAAGACGCAGCAAACCUCUGUCCUUGUGCAGUGACUGUGCUUGGCCAUUCUCUCCUCCCUCAAGUACUCCCAUCCAAACAGAAAAGAGCCACUGAAGUCUGAGAGCUAGCCACAACCCCAGAUGUUACACAAAGGGCAGUAUCUGAGCUGAAGGAUGGAGAAAAAAAGGAUGGUUGGAGGUUGCUAUGAUGCAUCCAUUUUGGCAGCAGUCAAAUGAACAUUGUGUGCAUCAUUGAGCUGGCAGCCACUGUACGGAUGUCCCUUGCCCAAAGGCAUGCUGCAGGCGACAUGGAAGGAUGAAACAGGAGGCCUCCCCAUGCCUGGUGCUCCACUGUGCUGCUUGUCCCUCCACACUGCUGCCAUCAUUCACAUCUCCUCUGGUGUUCUUUACAUAUGUACUCAGAUCAAGCAGAGGUUUCCAUGUGAG
rnacentral:lncRNA from 1 species